GUGGGGAAUUUUGGACAAUGGGCGCAAGCCUGAUCCAGCAAUGCCGCGUGCAGGAAGAAGGCCUUCGGGUUGUAAACUGCUUUUGUACGGAACGAAAAGGCUCUGGUUAAUACCUGGGGCUCAUGACGGUACCGUAAGAAUAAGCACCGGCUAACUACGUGCCAGCAGCCGCGGUAAUACGUAGGGUGCAAGCGUUAAUCGGAAUUACUGGGCGUAAAGCGUGCGCAGGCGGUUUUGUAAGACAGAGGUGAAAUCCCCGGGCUCAACCUGGGAAUUGCCUUUGUGACUGCAAGGCUGGAGUGCGGCAGAGGGGGAUGGAAUUCCGCGUGUAGCAGUGAAAUGCGUAGAUAUGCGGAGGAACACCGAUGGCGAAGGCAAUCCCCUGGGCCUGCACUGACGCUCAUGCACGAAAGCGUGGGGAGCAAACAGGAUUAGAAACCCGUGUAGUCC
rnacentral:rRNA from 1 species